AGAUGGUCGCCCCCUUGUGGUCGGUGUACAGGUGGUGCAUGGUUGUCGUCAGCUCGUGUCGUGAGAUGUUGGGUUAAGUCCCGCAACGAGCGCAACCCUCGUUCUAUGUUGCCAGCGCGUUAUGGCGGGGACUCAUAGGAGACUGCCGGGGUCAACUCGGAGGAAGGUGGGGAUGACGUCAAAUCAUCAUGCCCCUUAUGUCUUGGGCUUCACGCAUGCUACAAUGGCCGGUACAAAGGGCUGCGAUACCGUAAGGUGGAGCGAAUCCCAAAAAGCCGGUCUCAGUUCGGAUUGAGGUCUGCAACUCGACCUCAUGAAGUCGGAGUCGCUAGUAAUCGCAGAUCAGCAACGCUGCGGUGAAUACGUUCCCGGGUCUUGUACACACCGAACACAACACACGCUUAAAAUGGAUGAGCCCGCGGCCU
rnacentral:rRNA from 1 species